rnacentral:rRNA from 1 species
CGAACGCUGGCGGCGUGCUUACCACAUGCAAGUCGAACGGUGAAGCGCCUUCCUUUUUGGUGGGUGUGGAUGAGUGGCGAACGGGUGAGUAACACGUGAGUAACCUGCCCCCUUCUUCUGGAUAACCGCAUGAAAGUGUGGCUAAUACGGGAUAUUCUGGGUCUGUCGCAUGAUGGGUCUGGGAAAGAUAUUGUUUCGGUGGGGGAUGGGCUCGCGGCCUAUCCGCUUGUUGGUGGGGUGAUGGCCUACCAAGGCGGUGACGGGUAGCCGGCCUGAGAGGGUGGACGGUCACACUGGGACUGAGACACGGCCCAGACUCCUACGGGAGGCAGCAGUGGGGAAUAUUGCACAAUGGGCGCAAGCCUGAUGCAGCGACGCCGCGUGAGGGAUGGAGGCCUUCGGGUUGUGAACCUCUUUCGCCAGUGAAGCAGGCCUGCCUCGUUUGUGGGUGGGUUGACGGUAGCUGGAUAAGAAGCGCCGGCUAACUACGUG